UGGGGAAUAUUGGACAAUGGGCGCAAGCCUGAUCCAGCAAUGCCGCGUGAGUGAUGAAGGCCUUAGGGUUGUAAAGCUCUUUCGCACGCGACGAUGAUGACGGUAGCGUGAGAAGAAGCCCCGGCUAACUUCGUGCCAGCAGCCGCGGUAAUACGAAGGGGGCUAGCGUUGUUCGGAAUUACUGGGCAUAAAGGGCGCGUAGGCGGCCUGUUUAGUCAGAAGUGAAAGCCCCGGGCUCAACCUGGGAAUAGCUUUUGGAUACUGGCAGGCUUGAGUUCCGGAGAGGAUGGUGGAAUUCCCAGUGUAGAGGUGAAAUUCGUAGAUAUUGGGAAGAACACCGGUGGCGAAGGCGGCCAUCUGGACGGACACUGACGCUGAGGCGCGAAAGCGUGGGGAGCAAAACAGGAUUAGAUACCCUGGUAGUCCACGCCGUAAACGAUGAAUGCUAGACGUCGGGGUGCAUGCACUUCGGUGUCGCCGCUAACGCAUUAAGCAUUCCGCCUGGGGAGUACGGCCGCAAGGUUAAAACUCAAAUGAAUUGACGGGGUCAUAGCUGUUUCCU
rnacentral:rRNA from 1 species